UACGUAGGGCGCAAGCGUUGUCCGGAAUUAUUGGGCGUAAAAGAGCUCGUAGGCGGCUUGUCACGUCGGGUGUGAAAGCCCGGGGCUUAACCCCGGGUCUGCAUUCGAUACGGGCUAGCUAGAGUGUGGUAGGGGAGAUGGAAUUCCUGGUGUAGCGGUGAAAAUGCGCAGAUAUCAGGAGGAACACCGGUGGCGAAGGCGGAUCUCUGGGCCAUUACUGACGCUGAGGAGCGAAAGCGUGGGGAGCGAACAGG
rnacentral:rRNA from 1 species